rnacentral:lncRNA from 1 species
AGCAUAAAUAUAUUACAUUUAAUUGAAGUUAUGUACGUCUAUUUGCUUAUAAACUUACCUCGGACAAUGAAAAAUCGGUACGGAUCGACUAGUCAACAACUUUCAUUUUCCCCCAAUCCAAAUCCGAUUUCUUUGGUUCUUGAUCUAAACAUAUUCAAAUUAAGCUCGUUCAAACAUAUUUUCAUUCAAUUUAGUCCAAAAAUACAUAAAUGGUAAAAAUGCCAUUUUACCCCU